GCAGCCUGAUGCAGCGACGCCGCGUGAGGGAUGACGGCCUUCGGGUUGUAAACCUCUUUCAAUAGGGACGAAGCGCAAGUGACGGUACCUAUAGAAGAAGGACCGGCCAACUACGUGCCAGCAGCCGCGGUAAUACGUAGGGUCCGAGCGUUGUCCGGAAUUACUGGGCGUAAAGAGCUCGUAGGUGGUUUGUCGCGUUGUUCGUGAAAACUCACAGCUCAACUGUGGGCGUGCGGGCGAUACGGGCAGACUAGAGUACUGCAGGGGAGACUGGAAUUCCUGGUGUAGCGGUGGAAUGCGCAGAUAUCAGGAGGAACACCGGUGGCGAAGGCGGGUCUCUGGGCAGUAACUGACGCUGAGGAGCGAAAGCGUGGGGAGCGAACAGGAUUAGAUACCCUGGUAGUCCACGCCGUAAACGGUGGGUACUAGGUGUGGGUUUCCUUCCUUGGGAUCCGUGCCGUAGCUAACGCAUUAAGUACCCCGCCUGGGGAGUACGGCCGCAAGGCUAAAACUCAAAGAAAUUGACGGGGGCCCGCACAAGCGGCGGAGCAUGUGGAUUAAUUCGAUGCAACGCGAAGAACCUUACCUGGGUUUGACAUGCACAGGACGCCGGCAGAGAUGUCGGUUCCCUUGUGGC
rnacentral:rRNA from 3 species